rnacentral:tRNA from 1 species
UCCCUAGUGGCUUAGGUGGUAAAGAAUCUGCCUGCAAUGCUGGAGACCUGGGUUUGAUCCCUGGGUGGGGAA